rnacentral:rRNA from 1 species
GAUGAACGCUAGCUACAGGCUUAACACAUGCAAGUCGAGGGACCGGCGCACGGGUGAGUAACACGUAUCCACCCUGCCCUUUACUCGGGGCUAGCCUUUCGAAAGCACGAUUAAUACCCGAUAUAACGGAUGGGGAUGCGUUCCAUUAGGUUGUUGGGGAGGUAACGGCUCACAAAGCCUUCGAUGGAUAGGGGUUCUGCUAGGAAGGUCCCCGACAUGGGAACUGAGACACGGUCCAAACUCCUACGGGAGGCAGCAGUGAGGAAUAUUGGUCAAUGGGCGGCAGCCUGAACCAGCCAAUGAGCGUGAAGGAUGAAGGCUUAUGGGUCGUAAACUUCUUUUAUAUAAGAAUAUGUAUUAUAUGAAUAAGGAUCGGCUAACGCCGUGCCAGCAGCCGCGGUAAUUC